rnacentral:tRNA from 1 species
GGAAGAUUGGCAGAGCUUGGCUUAUUGUACCUGACUUGAAAUCAGGCGGGGGUUAAUAGCCCUCCGUGGGUUCGAAUCCCACAUCUUCCUCCA